rnacentral:misc_RNA from 1 species
GAUGAAGAACGUAGCGAAAUGCGAUACGUAAUGUGAAUUGCAGAAUUCAGUGAAUCAUCGAGUCUUUGAACGCACAUUGCGCCCCCUGGUAUUCCGGGGGGCAUGCCUGUCCGAGCGUCAUUGCUGCCCUCAAGCACGGCUUGUGUGUUGGGCCUCCGUCCUCCUCCCCGGGGACGGGCCCGAAAGGCAGCGGCGGCACCGCGUCCGGUCCUCGAGCGUAUGGGGCUUCGUCACCCGCUCUUGUAGGCCCGGCCGGCGCUUGCCGACACAUCAAUCUUUUUUCCAGGUUGACCUCGGAUCAGGUAGGGAUACCCGCUGAACUUAAGCAUAUCAAUAAGCGGAGGA